GGGGGAAGAGUCAUAACUCAGUAGUAGAACAUCUGCCUUGCGUGCAGAAGGCCGCAGGUUCAACUCCCAGCAUCUCCA